UACGAAGGGUGCAAGCGUUAUUCGGAAUCAUUGGGCGUAAAGGGUGUGUAGACGGUAUGUUAAGUCUGUUGUUAAAUGCCCCAGCUCAACUGGGGAUCUGCGGUGGAAACUAACAUGCUAGAGGGUGGAAGAGAGAAGUGGAAUUCUCGGAGUAGCGGUAAAAUGCGUAGAUCUCGAGAGGAACACCAAUGGCGAAGGCAGCUUCUUGGUCCAUACCUGACGUUGAAACACGAAAGCGUGGGGAGCAAACAGG
rnacentral:rRNA from 1 species